rnacentral:rRNA from 1 species
ACAGCAGUCGCCGCGGUAAUACGGAGGGUGCAAGCGUUAAUCGGAAUUACUGGGCGUAAAGCGCACGCAGGCGGUCUGACAAGUCAGAUGUGAAAUCCCCGGGCUUAACCUGGGAACUGCAUUUGAAACUGUCAGGCUGGAGUCUUGUAGAGGGGGGUGGAAUUCCAGGUGUAGCGGUGAAAUGCGUAGAGAUCUGGAGGAAUACCGGUGGCGAAGGCGGCCCCCUGGACAAAGACUGACGCUCAGGUGCGAAAGCGUGGGGAGCAAACAGGAUUAGAUACCCCUGUAGUCCCUGUCUCUUAUAC